AGAGUUUGAUCAUGGCUCAGAACGAACGCUGGCGGCAGGCCUAACACAUGCAAGUCGAACGUGAAGCCACCUUCGGGUGGUGGAAAGUGGCAGACGGGUGAGUAACGCGUGGGAACGUGCCUUUCGGUUCGGAAUAACCCAGGGAAACUUGGGCUAAUACCGGAUACGCCCUUCGGGGGAAAGAUUCAUCGCCGAAAGAUCGGCCCGCGUCGGAUUAGCUAGUUAGUAGGGUAAUGGCCUACCAAGGCGACGAUCCGUAGCUGGUCUGAGAGGAUGACCAGCCACACUGGGACUGAGACACGGCCCAGACUCCUACGGGAGGCAGCAGUGGGGAAUAUUGGACAAUGGGCGAAAGCCUGAUCCAGCCAUGCCGCGUGGGUGAAGAAGGCCCUAGGGUUGUAAACCCCUUUCAGCGGGGAAGAUAAUGACGGUACCCGCAGAAGAAGCCCCGGCUAACUCCGUGCCAGCAGCCGCGGUAAUACGGAGGGGGCUAGCGUUGUUCGGAAUUACUGGGCGUAAAGCGCGCGUAGGCGGAUCUGCAAGUCGGGGGUGAAAUCCCGAGGCUCAACCUCGGAACUGCCUUCGAUACUGCGGGUCUCGAGUCCGGGAGAGGUGAGUGGAAUUCCUAGUGUAGAGGUGAAAUUCGUAGAUAUUAGGAAGAACACCAGUGGCGAAGGCGGCUCACUGGCCCGGUACUGACGCUGAGGCGCGAAAGCGUGGGGAGCAAACAGGAUUAGAUACCCUAGUAGUCC
rnacentral:rRNA from 1 species